rnacentral:rRNA from 1 species
UCCGUAGGGUGAACCUGCGGAGGGAUCAUUACACAAAUAUGAAGGCGGGCUGGAACCUCUCGGGGUUACAGCCUUGCUGAAUUAUUCACCCUUGUCUUUUGCGUACUUCUUGUUUCCUUGGUGGGUUCGCCCACCACUAGGACAAACAUAAACCUUUUGUAAUUGCAAUCAGCGUCAGUAACAAAUUAAUAAUUACAACUUUCAACAACGGAUCUCUUGGUUCUGGCAUCGAUGAAGAACGCAGCGAAAUGCGAUAAGUAGUGUGAAUUGCAGAAUUCAGUGAAUCAUCGAAUCUUUGAACGCACAUUGCGCCCUUUGGUAUUCCAAAGGGCAUGCCUGUUCGAGCGUCAUUUGUACCCUCAAGCUUUGCUUGGUGUUGGGCGUCUUGUCUCUAGCUUUGCUGGAGACUCGCCUUAAAGUAAUUGGCAGCCGGCCUACUGGUUUCGGAGCGCAGCACAAGUCGCACUCUCUAUCAGCAAAGGUCUAGCAUCCAUUAAGCCUUUUUUUCAACUUUUGACCUCGGAUCAGGUAGGGAUACCCGCUGAACUUAAGCAUAUCAAUAAGUCGGAGGA